UAUUCUUCAGUCUCUCUUCCUAGUCCAAGUCCCAAGUCCUAAGGUCCUAGUCCCUAGUUGUACUCAAUAAUCUGUUACUCCAAAUUG